CUGGCAUAUUAAAUGCUGCAUGAUUAUUUCAGCCAAUCAGGAAUUUCAAAGAUAAGGAAAAAACUAUUGGCAGUCCUCCUGUCUCCCGGAGAAUGCAGACUUUUUGGGAUAAAAAUGAAAGAAAUCGGUUUCAAAGAUUUCACACAUAUUUUCUUCUGUCUUUUAUAGGAAUCGAACGUUAAUUGAAGCAUUACUGAUUCUUAAAUCCUUC